UUUCAGUAGAGUUUGAUCCUAGCUCAGGAUGAACGCUGGCGGCGUGGAUAAGGCAUGCAAGUCGAACGCCCCGCAAGGGGAGUGGCGAACGGGGUAGUAACAGGUAGGAAUGUUCCCAGAAGUCGUGAAUAAUCCAUCGAAAGGUGGACUAAUACACGAUGGUCUCUUCGGAGUAAAGUUUUAACGCUUCUGGAUCAGCCUGCCUCGUAUCAGCUUGUUGGCGGUGUAAAAGACCACCAAGGCUAUGACGCGUAGGGGCGCUGAGAGGCGGACCCCCACCAAAGGCACUGAGACACUGGCCUUACACCUACGGGUGGCUGCAGUCAAGAACCUUCCGCAAUGCACGAAAGUGUGACGGAGCGACGCCGCGUGAUGGAUGAAGGUCUUCGGGCCGUAAACAUCUUUUAUAAGUGAAGAAGUUUAUUGACAUUAACUUAUGAAUAAGGGGUUCCUAAUCACGUGCCAGCAGGAGCGGUAAUACGUGAGCCCCGAGCGUUAUCCGGAAUUAUUGGGCGUAAAGGGUGUGUAGGUGGUUGUAUUAGUCGUGGGUGAAAUACCGAGGCUUAACCUCGGGAACGCCCACGAAACGGUAUGACUAGAGUACGUCAGAGGCAUGUGGAACUCUCGGUGUAGGGGUGAAAUCCGUUGAUAUCGAGGGGAACACCAAAAGCGAAGGCAACAUGCUGGGAUGGUACUGACACUGAAACACGAAACCCUGGGUAGCGAAUGGGAUUAGAUACCCCAGUAGUCCAGGGCCUAAACUAUGCAGACUUGCUUUUCGGAGUAUCGACCCUCUGUGAGGCGAAGCUAACGCGUUAAGUCUGCCGCCUGGGAACUACGGCCGCAAGGCUAAAACUCAAAGGAAUAGACGGGGACUCGCACAAGCGGUGGAUCAUGUGGUUUAAUUCGAUGAUAAGCGAAGAACCUUACCAGGGCUAGAAAUCUGCGUGAAAACCUUCAGAAAAGUUGGUCCUCUUCGGACACGCAGACAGGUGAUGCAUGGCUGUCGUCAGCUCGUGGCUUGAGCUGUUCGGUUAAGUCCGGUAACGAGCGCAACCCUCGUCGUAUGUUUUAUAUGUCAUACGAGACUGCCCCCUCAGUGUCUGGGACCUAUGGUCUCCCUCCCUAACCCUCCCCCGGAUCCGGGGGAGGGAAAUCCGUCCGCUAUAGCGGACGGAUGGGAGGGGGGAAGGUCAUUGAUACCGAGGGGGGAGGAAGGCGAGGACGACGCCAAGUCAGCAUGUCCCUUGAUGCCCUGGGCUACACACGUGAUACAAUGGGUGACACAAUAGGUUGCCAAGGAGUAAUCCGGAGCUAAUCCUAAAAAUCACCCUCAGUUCAGAUUGAGGUCUGCAACUCGACCUCAUGAAGUUGGAAUCGCUAGUAAUGGCAGGUCAGCACACUGCCGUGAAUACGUUCUCGAGUCUUGUACUCACCGCCCGUCAAGUCAAGGGAGCCGGGGGUACCCAAAGUCUGUGCGAUUGUGCAUGGCCUAAGGUAAACUUGGUGACAGGGACUAAGUCGUAACAAGGCACGGGUAGCGGAAGCUGCUCGUGGAACACUCCAAAU
rfam:Candidatus Nomurabacteria bacterium RIFCSPLOWO2_01_FTLL_36_10b rifcsplowo2_01_scaffold_5451, whole genome shotgun sequence.